CCUACGGGUGGCUGCAGUGAGGAAUAUUGGUCAAUGGUCGGGAGACUGAACCAGCCAAGCCGCGUGAGGGAGGAAGGUACAGAGUAUCGUAAACCUCUUUUGUCAGGGAACAAAGACUGGGACGCGUCCCCGGAUGAGUGUACCCGAAGAAAAAGCAUCGGCUAACUCCGUGCCAGCAGCCGCGGUAAUACGGAGGAUGCGAGCGUUAUCCGGAUUUAUUGGGUUUAAAGGGUGCGCAGGCGGAGGUGCAAGUCAGCGGUCAAAUUGCGGGGCUCAACCCCGUACUGCCGUUGAAACUGCAUCCCUUGAGUGCGCGAGAAGUAUGCGGAAUGCGUGGUGUAGCGGUGAAAUGCAUAGAUAUUAGGAGGAACACCGGUGGCGAAGGCGGCCUGCUGGACUGUGACUGACGUUGAGGCCCGAAGGCGUGGGGAGCAAACAGGAUUAGAUACCCUUGUAGUC
rnacentral:rRNA from 1 species